ACUCAAAUGAAUAGACGGGGGCUCACACAAGCGGUGGAGUAUGUGGCUUAAUUCGAGGCUACGCGCAAAACCUUAUCCCAGGCUUGACAUGCACGGAUUAGCCGGCGGAAACGUCGGUGAGGCCGCAAGGUACAACGUGCACAGGUGCUGCAUGGCUGUCGUCAGCUCGUGCCGUGAGGUGUUGGGUUAAGUCCCCUAACGAGCGCAACCCCUGCCCUUAGUUGCCAGCGCGUCAUGGCGGGAACUCUAAGGGGACCGCCGGCGUUAAGCCGGAGGAAGGCGGGGACGACGUCAAGUCCUCAUGGCCCUUAUGCCUGGGGCUGCACACGUACUACAAUGGGACGGACAGAGCGUCGCAAGCGCGCAAGUGCAAGCUAAUCGCAAAAACCGUCCCCCAGUUCGGAUUGCGGGCUGCAACCCGCCCGCAUGAAGCCGGAAUCGCUAGUAAUCGCGGAUCAGCAUGCCGCGGUGAAUGGGUUCCUGAGCCUUGUACACACCGCCCGU
rnacentral:rRNA from 1 species